UAGCACAGUAGGUAGUGCAUAAGUCUUAUAAGCUGAAGGUCUGGAGUUCAAUCCUCCA
rnacentral:tRNA from 1 species